rnacentral:lncRNA from 1 species
UAACUUUUUGACCCUACGAGAUUCUUCAACUAACUCUAUGUGAGUUAGUACUUAUCCUAAUCACUGCGGUUAUUGGUCUCAGGUAUUGCUACUUAAGCUUCAUAACCAACAGCUCUGAUACCAACUGUGAUAGCCCCAAAUCCGGGUCCUAAUCGUCGUGGAUUCGAUACAAUCAUUCUACAACUGUUUGCGGAAGAUAUAAACAUAGAUUGUUUAUACAUUAAACUUUACACACAUUUCCCCAGAAUCGAGUAACCUUCACUUAUACACAAUCAUGAACUAUCUAGCACAUGACAAUACUAUUCUUCAACAUACUUUACAACUUAACUUCACAUUCUGUACCAAGCUGAACUUGGCAUUAUCCUUUUUCUGUAUCUGGCCGUAUUCGCCUUAUCUGCAAUGUUUUAUCAUGAUAUAGCAAGGGUGAGCAUGAAAGUUGCCCAGCAAGUUUAAAAACAAUGUAAAAAUAUAUCAUGAUGGAAAGAGUUUGAAUAAUAAGUUGGCUAUCCUUCACAAUGUAUUUGUGAAUUAGCAUGAACAAAGUUUUGACUGAACAAGUAUUGAACAGGAACAAUAAUAUAUCUGGACCAACUGGUAAUGAAGGUGAUCAGCCUUUCAUACCUGACUUAUACAUGCAAGAUGUACAGAGUACAAUUCAUAAGCAUAUCUGUCUGAAACCACUCUUAAAAGAGUUUAAGUAAAAAGAACUUGCCUGAACCGUUGAUUACCGUAACGCAAUAUAAUACGCUUUUCCUGAAGACCUAAUAUUAAUAAUAUAGAUCUCCAAUAUUAGAAUAAUAUCAUCAUCGUUAUAAAAUAACUUAAACAUAUUUCCACAUAAUCCUAUCAGUCUCUUAUACACAUAGGACAUAGCAUCACGUCAGACUAUUUCAAUCCGAGUUGAAAUCGGUACAAUUCUAUCAUCCCGACGGUCUAGUCGGACAAUUAACGAGUCUAAGUUUAAUUAAACUCUGC